rnacentral:SRP_RNA from 1 species
GGCCGGGCUCCGCAAAUGUUGGAGAGCGAACCGGGUCAGGCGGGGAACCGAGCAGCCCUAAGCAUAUCCGGCUUGUGCGGCACACCCGGCCGGG